AAAGUCGUGAGGCGGAGNAAAACACAAAACACAGUCUCAGUUCAGAUUGUAGGCUGAAACUCGCCCAUAUGAAGUCGGAAUUGCUAGUAAUCGCGGAUCAGCAUGCCGCGGUGAAUACGUUCCCGGGCCUUGUACACACCGCCCGUCACGCCAUGAGAGUCGAUAACACCCGAAGCCUGUAGUCUAACAGCAAUGAGGACGCAGUCGAAGGUGGGAUUGAUAAUUAGGGUGAAGUCGUAACAAGGUAAC
rnacentral:rRNA from 1 species